UAGGGAAUCUUCGGCAAUGGACGAAAGUCUGACCGAGCCACGCCGCGUGAGUGAAGAAGGUUUUCGGAUCGUAAAACUCUGUUGUUAGAGAAGAACAAGGACGUUAGUAACUGAACGUCCCCUGACGGUAUCUAACCAGAAAGCCACGGCUAACUACGUGCCAGCAGCCGCGGUAAUACGUAGGUGGCAAGCGUUGUCCGGAUUUAUUGGGCGUAAAGCGAGCGCAGGCGGUUUCUUAAGUCUGAUGUGAAAGCCCCCGGCUCAACCGGGGAGGGUCAUUGGAAACUGGGAGACUUGAGUGCAGAAGAGGAGAGUGGAAUUCCAUGUGUAGAGGUGAAAUGCGUAGAUAUAUGGAGGAACACCAGUGGCGAAGGCGGCUCACUGGUCUGUAACUGACGCUGAGGCUCGAAAGCGUGGGGAGCAAACAGG
rnacentral:rRNA from 1 species